rnacentral:lncRNA from 1 species
GAGCGCAGCAAAAUCUGCAAACCAGAACGCCACCUUAUGGAAGGUAAUAUUCAUCAUAUGACAUACAUAAUAAAUAUGUCCAGAAUUCAUUUACAAAAGCUGCAUGGGUUACCACCAGUAAUAAGGCAACAAAUGUCUCUGAAAAACAUUGUUUGUUGUCAAAAGGCGCCAACUCCAGCAAAGGAUAUUUCAUGUAAUUACAUAAAAGGUAAACAGAGUUAAAAUGAAGUGUCAGUAGUCAAAAGGGGCCAACUCCACCAAAGGAUAUUUCAUGUAAUUACAUAAAAGGUAAACAGAGUUGAAAUGAAGUGUCAGUACCCUCAAGUUUUUCGAACUGAGAAAGACAGGCAUGAGAGAUAAAAUCCAAAACCAAGGAUACUUCUUAGUAAAACAGGCAUCUUAUAUAAAUAAUAAACAGAUUUCUACCAUUAGUAAGCCAAAUAAAUGUAUCUCACUCACUCUUAUGUUUAACUUUGUGGUAGACUUAUAUGGAGUACAAGCU